UGAGCAAUCUGCCCUUCUCUUUGGAAUAAGCGUUGGAAACGACGUCUAAUGCCGAAUACGACCUCCUUUCGCAUGAUCGGAGGUGGAAAGCUCCGGCGGAGAAGGAUGAGCUCGCGGCCUAUCAGCUAGUUGGUGAGGUAACGGCUCACCAAGGCUACGAUCAGUAGCUGGUCUGAGAGGAUGAUCAGCCACACUGGGACUGAGACACCGGCAGA
rnacentral:rRNA from 1 species